GGGCCUGUAGCUCAAUUGGUUAGAGCCGGCGGCUCAUAACCGCUUGGUUGUAGGUUCGAGUCCUACCGGGCCCACCA
rnacentral:tRNA from 2 species